UACGUAGGGUCCGAGCGUUGUCCGGAAUUACUGGGCGUAAAGAGCUCGUAGGUGGUUUGUCGCGUUGUUCGUGAAAACUCACAGCUUAACUGUGGGCGUGCGGGCGAUACGGGCAGACUUGAGUACUGCAGGGGAGACUGGAAUUCCUGGUGUAGCGGUGGAAUACGCAGAUAUCAGGAGGAACACCGGUGGCGAAGGCGGGUCUCUGGGCAGUAACUGACGCUGAGGAGCGAAAGCGUGGGGAGCGAACAGG
rnacentral:rRNA from 1 species